rnacentral:rRNA from 1 species
AUUGAACGCUGGCGGCAGGCCUAACACAUGCAAGUCGAGCGAGCGGCGGACGGGUGAGUAAUGUAUGGGGACUGCCCGAUAGAGGGGGAUAACUACUGGAAACGGUAGCUAAUACCGCAUACUAUCGGAUAACCCAUAUGGGAUUAGCUAGUAGGUGAGGUAAUGGCUCACCUAGGCGACGAUCCCUAGCUGGUCUGAGAGGAUGAUCAGCCACAAAUGGACUGAGACACGGCCCAGACGCAUACGGAGGCGGAAGUGGGGAAUAUGGCACAAUGGGGGCAAGCCGGAUGCAGACAUGCCGCGUGUAUGAAGAAGGCCCUAGGGUUGUAAAGGACUUUCAGUCGGGAGGCGUUACCGACAGAAGAAGCACCGGCUAACUCCGUGCCAGCAGCCGCGGUAAUUC